rnacentral:rRNA from 1 species
GACGAACGCUGGCGGCGUGCUUAACACAUGCAAGUCGAACGGAAAGGCCCUGCUUUUGUGGGGUGCUCGAGUGGCGAACGGGUGAGUAACACGUGAGUAACCUGCCCUUGACUUUGGGAUAACUUCAGGAAACUGGGGCUAAUACCGGAUAGGAGCUCCUGCUGCAUGGUGGGGGUUGGAAAGUUUCGGCGGUUGGGGAUGGACUCGCGGCUUAUCAGCUUGUUGGUGGGGUAGUGGCUUACCAAGGCUUUGACGGGUAGCCGGCCUGAGAGGGUGACCGGCCACAUUGGGACUGAGAUACGGCUCAGACUCCUACGGGAGGCAGCAGUGGGGAAUAUUGCACAAUGGGCGGAAGCCUGAUGCAGCAACGCCGCGUGCGGGAUGACGGCCUUCGGGUUGUAAACCGCUUUCGCCUGUGACGAAGCGUGAGUGACGGUAAUGGGUAAAGAAGCACCGGCUAACUACGUGCCAGCAGCCGCGGUGAUACGUAGGGUGCGAGCGUUGUCCGGAUUUAUUGGGCGUAAAGGGCUCGUAGGUGGUUGAUCGCGUCGGAAGUGUAAUCUUGGGGCUUAACCCUGAGCGUGCUUUCGAUACGGGUUGACUUGAGGAAGGUAGGGGAGACUGGAAUUCCUGGUGGAGCGGUGGAAUGCGCAGAUAUCAGGAGGAACACCAGUGGCGAAGGCGGUUCUCUGGGCCUUUCCUGACGCUGAGGAGCGAAAGCGUGGGGAGCGAACAGGCUUAGAUACCCUGGUAGUCCACGCUGUAAACGGUGGGUACUAGGUGUGGGGUCCAUUCCACGGGUUCCGUGCCGUAGCUAACGCUUUAAGUACCCCGCCUGGGGAGUACGGCCGCAAGGCUAAAACUCAAAGGAAUUGACGGGGCCCCGCACAAGCGGCGGAGCAUGCGGAUUAAUUCGAUGCAACGCGUAGAACCUUACCUGGGUUUGACAUGGAUCGGGAGUGCUCAGAGAUGGGUGUGCCUCUUUUGGGGUCGGUUCACAGGUGGUGCAUGGCUGUCGUCAGCUCGUGUCGUGAGAUGUUGGGUUAAGUCCCGCAACGAGCGCAACCCUUGUUCACUGUUGCCAGCACGUUAUGGUGGGGACUCAGUGGAGACCGCCGGGGUCAACUCGGAGGAAGGUGGGGAUGACGUCAAGUCAUCAUGCCCCUUAUGUCCAGGGCUUCACGCAUGCUACAAUGGCUGGUACAGAGAGUGGCGAGCCUGUGAGGGUGAGCGAAUCUCGGAAAGCCGGUCUCAGUUCGGAUUGGGGUCUGCAACUCGACCUCAUGAAGUCGGAGUCGCUAGUAAUCGCAGAUCAGCAACGCUGCGGUGAAUACGUUCCCGGGGCU